CUCUGUCCCCCAAAUUCAUGGCCGCAAAUUACCAAGGCCACCAGUGCAACUGGCAGGAUCCACAGUCUGCUGGCCGACUGCAAGUUAGCCUCAAUAAGAAUUUCCAGUAGAGUCAGAGGUCGUCUACUCUUCACUGAGUCCGUCCCACUGAAGACGUGAGGAGAGAGGAAACAUGGAAACAUGUUGUUUAGAGACAUGAGACGUUCUUUCUUCUGAUGCCACGUCUGUUUCUGAUGGCGAUCGCACAGCUGGAUCCCAGCUGGAUCAGCUUUCAGUUGCUUUUAGUUUAUAAUUUGUAUUUUCACGUCUGUCCUGUCCUAAUAACAAUAAAGAUGCACAAUGAA